rnacentral:rRNA from 1 species
GACGAACGCUGGCGGCGUGCUUAACACAUGCAAGUCGAACGGAAAGGCCCUGCUUUUGUGGGGUGCUCGAGUGGCGAACGGGUGAGUAACACGUGAGUAACCUGCCCUUGACUUUGUGAUAACUUCAGGAAACUGGGGCUAAUACCGGAUAUGAGCUCCUGCUGCAUGGUGGGGGUUGGAAAGUUUCGGCGGUUGGGGAUGGACUCGCGGCUUAUCAGCUUGUUGGUGGGGUAGUGGCUUACCAAGGCUUUGACGGGUAGCCGGCCUGAGAGGGUGACCGGCCACAUUGGGACUGAGAUACGGCCCAGACUGCUACGGGAGGCAGCAGUGGGGAAUAUUGCACAAUGGGCGGAAGCCUGAUGAAGAAACGCCGCGUGCGGGAUGACGGCCUUCGGGUUGUAAACCGCUUUCGCCUGUGACGAAGCGUGAGUGACGGUAAUGGGUAAAGAAGCACCGGCUAACUACGUG